rnacentral:rRNA from 1 species
UUUUUAAAACUAGCUCGCCCAUCCCUACUAAAAACCAGCCCAAAUAAACAAACCAUUUGAUAAGACUAGUAAAGGAGAUUAAACAU